rnacentral:rRNA from 1 species
CCUGGUGACCAUAGCGUGUAGGAACCACCCGAUCCCUUGCCGAAUUCGGAAGUGAAGAUGCACAGCGCCGAUGGUAGUAUGGGGUUUCCCCAUGUGAGAGUAGGACAUUGCCAGGA